UUCUGAAUAGUUUAUAAAGAAUGUAAUUUUGAAGAAAUUAGGGUAGUGCAAUACUUUUAGAU
rnacentral:tRNA from 1 species